rnacentral:rRNA from 1 species
CAGUCGAGCGAGCUUGCCUAGAUGAUUUUAGUGCUUGCACUAAAUGAAACUAGAUACAAGCGAGCGGCGGACGGGUGAGUAACACGUGGGUAACCUGCCCAAGAGACUGGGAUAACACCUGGAAACAGAUGCUAAUACCGGAUAACAACACUAGACGCAUGUCUAGAGUUUGAAAGAUGGUUCUGCUAUCACUCUUGGAUGGACCUGCGGUGCAUUAGCUAGUUGGUAAGGUAACGGCUUACCAAGGCAAUGAUGCAUAGCCGAGUUGAGAGACUGAUCGGCCACAUUGGGACUGAGACACGGCCCAAACUCCUACGGGAGGCAGCAGUAGGGAAUCUUCCACAAUGGACGAAAGUCUGAUGGAGCAACGCCGCGUGAGUGAAGAAGGGUUUCGGCUCGUAAAGCUCUGUUGGUAGUGAAGAAAGAUAGAGGUAGUAACUGGCCUUUAUUUGACGGUAAUUACUUAGAAAGUCACGGCUAACUACGUGCCAGCAGCCGCGGUAAUACGUAGGUGGCAAGCGUUGUCCGGAUUUAUUGGGCGUAAAGCGAGUGCAGGCGGUUCAAUAAGUCUGAUGUGAAAGCCUUCGGCUUAACCGGAGAAUUGCAUCAGAAACUGUUGAACUUGAGUGCAGAAGAGGAGAGUGGAACUCCAUGUGUAGCGGUGGAAUGCGUAGAUAUAUGGAAGAACACCAGUGGCGAAGGCGGCUCUCUGGUCUGCAACUGACGCUGAGGCUCGAAAGCAUGGGUAGCGAACAGGAUUAGAUACCCUGGUAGUCCAUGCCGUAAACGAUGAGUGC